ACUUGCCUCGGCAAUGCAAAUACUAAAAUUGCAAUGAUACAGAGAAGACUAGCAGGGCCCCUGCACAAGGAUGACAUGCAAAUUUGUGAAGUGGUCUAUAUUUUU